GGAGGAGUACCCAAGUGGCCAACGGGGGCAGACUGUAAAUCUGCUGGCUUUAGCCUUCGAUGGUUCGAAUCCAUCCUCCUCCACCA
rnacentral:tRNA from 1 species